CACAUCAGCGCGCUUUGCUGACAUGGCAACAAAUCGCGUCCUCUGGAGUGCGAUUUGUGUCAAUGUCAGUAAAGCGCGCUAACGUGG
rfam:Gossypium hirsutum cultivar TM-1 chromosome 17, whole genome shotgun sequence